rnacentral:rRNA from 1 species
UACGAGGGGUCCUAGCGUUGUUCGGAAUCAUUGGGCGUAAAGGGUGUGUAGGUGGCUAUGUAAGUCAGGUGUGAAAGCCCCGGGCUCAACCCGGGAAGUGCAUCUGAUACUGCGUAGCUUGAGUACCGAAGAGGAUAGUGGAAUUCCUGGUGUAGCGGUGAAAUGCGCAGAUAUCAGGAGGAACACCGGUGGCGAAGGCGGGUCUCUGGGCCGAUACUGACGCUGAGGAGCGAAAGCGUGGGGAGCGAACAGG